CGGAAUUACUGGGCGUAAAGCGCACGUGGGCGGCUUUGUAAGUUAGAGGUGAAAGCCCGGGGCUCAACCCCGGAAUUGCCUUUAAGACUGCAUCGCUAGAAUUGUGGAGAGGUAAGUGGAAUUCCGAGUGUAGAGGUGAAAUUCGUAGAUAUUCGGAAGAACACCAGUGGCGAAGGCGACUUACUGGACACAUAUUGACGCUGAGGUGCGAAAGCGUGGGGAGCAAACAGG
rnacentral:rRNA from 1 species